UACAGAGGGGGCAAGCGUUGUUCGGAAUUACUGGGCGUAAAGCGCACGCAGGUGGCUGAGUCAGUCGAUUGUGAAAGCCCUGGGCUUAACCUGGGAAUUGCAGUCGAUACUACUCAGCUAGAGUAUGGGAGAGGGUAGUGGAAUUCCCAGUGUAGCGGUGAAAUGCGUAGAUAUUGGGAAGAACACCGGAGGCGAAGGCGGGUUGCUGGGCCGACACUGACGGCUGAGGCGCGAAAGCCAGGGGAGCAAACGGG
rnacentral:rRNA from 1 species